rnacentral:rRNA from 1 species
GACGAACGCUGGCGGCGUGCUUAACACAUGCAAGUCGAACGGAAAGGCCCUGCUUUUGUGGGGUGCUCGAGUGGCGAACGGGUGAGUAACACGUGAGUAACCUGCCCUUGACUUUGGGAUAACUUCAGGAAACUGGGGCUAAUACCGGAUAGGAGCUCCUGCUGCAUGGUGGGGGUUGGAAAGUUUCGGCGGUUGGGGAUGGACUCGCGGCUUAUCAGCUUGUUGGUGGGGUAGUGGCUUACCAAGGCUUUGACGGGUAGCCGGCCUGAGAGGGUGACCGGCCACAUUGGGACUGAGGUACGGCCCAGACUCCUACGGGAGGCAGCAGUGGGGAAUAUUGCACAAUGGGCGGAAGCCUGAUGCAGCAACGCCGCGUGCGGGAUGACGGCCUUCGGGUUGUAAACCGCUUUCGCCUGUGACGAAGCGGGAGUGACGGUAAUGGGUAAAGAAGCACCGGCUAACUACGUG